CCAUAGCGACUAUCGUGGCAUAUCAAUAAGCGGAGGAAAAGAAACUAACAAGGAUUCCCUUAGUAACGGCGAGUGAAGCGGGAAGAGCUCAAAUUUGAAAUCUUCAAGGUUCUACCUUGACGAAUUGUAGUUUAAAGAAGUGUUUUCUGUUGGAGUUUUGGUAAAAGUUCUUUGGAAUAGGACAUCAUAGAGGGUGAGAAUCCCGUAUUUGACCAUUAUUUCCAGCUGUGUGAUACACUUUCAAAGAGUCGGAUUGUUUGGGAAUGCAGUCCAAAAUGGGUGGUAAAUUUCAUCUAAAGCUAAAUAUUGGCGAGAGACCGAUAGCGAACAAGUACCGUGAGGGAAAGAUGAAAAGAACUUUGAAGAGAGAGUUAAACAGUACGUGAAAUUGUCAAAAGGGAAGCGUUUGACACCAGUGUUGUUUUUCCGAAAAUCAAUUACGAAUGUUUUGUUUUUAAGAAGUUAUGACUUCAUCGGCUUGCUUCUCUCUUUACGAAACUUUCUUAAUGCACUUUUUCGGUUAACAAGUCAACAUCAAUUUCUUUUGUUGUAAAGGGUUAUGAGGAAGGUGGCUUUACUUUCGGAGUAAAGUGUUUAUAGCCUUGUAACUCUGCAAUCGGAGAGAUUGAGGUCUGCAGCGUAGAUCCUUCGGGGCUAGAUACAUUUGUGCUAAGUUAUAGUCUUUUCAUAGACAACUUGUUGACUAUGAUUGAUCUUGUAGCUUACUCGCUAUGCCUAUUUUACCUACGCUUAGGAUGUUGACGAGACUGUCGAUCUC
rnacentral:rRNA from 1 species